AUGAUGAUGUCACUGACUCUACUGCUGGCCACCCUGGGGCUCCUUGUUCAGGGUUCAUCAGGAGAAAUCAUCCUGACUCAGUCUCCUGGAUCUCAGUCUGUUGUUCCAGGACAGACUGUCUCCAUCAGAUGUAAAACCAGUUCAAGUGUUAGUAGCUUCCUCAACUGGUACCUUCAGAAAUCUGGAGAAGCUCCUAAACUCCUGAUUUAUCAAGCUACAAACCUUCAGCCUGGAGUUUCAGAUCGUUUUAGUGGAAGUGGAUCUGGGACUGACUUCACUCUGACCAUCAGUGGAGUUCAGGCUGAAGAUUCAGGAGUUUAUUACUGUCAGCAGAGUGGUUACAGCAGCUCGUUCACACAGUGA